UCCCUGGGGGACUAGUGGUUAGGCCACAGCGCUCUCACCACUGUGGCCCAGGUUCGAUUCCUGGCCAGGGAA
rnacentral:tRNA from 1 species